CCUACGGGAGGCAGCAGUGGGGAAUUUUGGACAAUGGGCGAAAGCCUGAUCCAGCAAUGCCGCGUGAGUGAAGAAGGCCUUCGGGUUGUAAAGCUCUUUUGUCAGGGAAGAAACGGUGAGGGCUAAUAUCUCUUGCUAAUGACGGUACCUGAAGAAUAAGCACCGGCUAACUACGUGCCAGCAGCCGCGGUAAUACGUAGGGUGCAAGCGUUAAUCGGAAUUACUGGGCGUAAAGCGUGCGCAGGCGGUUUUGUAAGUCUGUCGUGAAAUCCCCGGGCUCAACCUGGGAAUUGCGAUGGAGACUGCAAGGCUAGAAUCUGGCAGAGGGGGGUAGAAUUCCACGUGUAGCAGUGAAAUGCGUAGAGAUGUGGAGGAACACCGAUGGCGAAGGCAGCCCCCUGGGUCAAGAUUGACGCUCAUGCACGAAAGCGUGGGGAGCAAACAGGAUUAGAUACCCUGGUAGUCCACGCCCUAAACGAUGUCUACUAGUUGUCGGGUUUUAAUUAACUUGGUAACGCAGCUAACGCGUGAGUAGACCGCCUGGGGAUACGGUCGCAAGAUUAAACGUUNAAAGGAAUUGACGGCUUGAGNGNGCGAGCGACGACGAGGAGAGG
rnacentral:rRNA from 1 species